rnacentral:rRNA from 1 species
GCAUGCUUUACACAUGCAAGUCGAGCGGCAGCGCGGGGGCAACCCUGGCGGCGAGCGGCGAACGGGUGAGGAAUACAUCGGAACGUACCCCGGAGUGGGGGAUAACGCCGCGAAAGCGGCGCUAAUACCGCAUAUGCUCUGUGGAGGAAAGUGGGGGACUCGCAAGGGCCUCACGCUCUGGGCGCGGCCGAUGUCCGAUUAGCUAGUUGGUGAGGUAAUGGCUCACCAAGGCGACGAUCGGUAGCUGGUCUGAGAGGAUGAUCAGCCACACUGGGACUGAGACACGGCCCAGACUCCUACGGGAGGCAGCAGUGGGGAAUUUUGGACAAUGGGGGCAACCCUGAUCCAGCCAUGCCGCGUGCGGGAAGAAGGCCUUCGGGUUGUAAACCGCUUUUAGUCGGGAAGAAAAGGUUGUUCCUAAUAGGGGCGACUCUUGACGGUACCGGCGGAAUAAGCACCGGCUAACUACGU